rnacentral:rRNA from 1 species
AGUGAACGCUGGCGGUAGGCCUAACACAUGCAAGUCGAACGGCAGCACAGUAAGAGCUUGCUCUUACGGGUGGCGAGUGGCGGACGGGUGAGGAAUACAUCGGACUCUACUUUUUCGUGGGGGUUAACGUAGGGAAACUUACGCUAAUACCGCAUACGCCCUACGGGUGAAAGCAGGGGAUCUUCGGACCUUGCGCGAUUGAAUGCGCCGAUGUCGGAUUAGCUAGUUGGCGGGGUAAAGGCCCACCCAGUCGACGAUCCGUAGCUGGUCUGAGAGGAUGAUCAGCCACACUGGAACGGAGACGCGGUCCAGACUCCUACGGGAGGCAGCAGUGGGGAAUAUUGGACAAUGGGCGCAAGUCUGAUCCAGCCAUACCGCGUGGGUGAAGAAGGCCUUCGGGUUGUAAAGCCCUUUUGUUGGGAAAGAAAAGCAGCAGGUUAAUACCCCGCUGUUCUGACGGUACCCAAAGAAUAAGCACCGGCUAACUUCGUG